UGCAUCUCCUCAAGGACAUUCAUAAAAUUGUAACGAUUCAGAAAAGAUUAACAUGACCCUUGUAGAAGGAUAAUAUGCAUAAAUUGAAAAAUAAUUCGAGUGUUU